GACGAACCGUGCGAACGUUGUUCGGAAUCACUGGGCUUAAAGGGCGCGUAGGCGGGCUGCCAAGUCCGUAGGUGAAAUCCCCCGGCUCAACCGGGGAACGGCCUCGGAUACUGGCGGCCUGGAGGGGGGUAGGGGCGUGCGGAACUGUGGGUGGAGCGGUGAAAUGCGUAGAGAUCGGGAGGAACAUCAGUGGCGAAGGCGGCCAUCUGGGACAACACUGACGCUGAAGCACGAAAGCGUGGGGAGCAAACAGG
rnacentral:rRNA from 1 species